UACGAAGGGGGCUAGCGUUGUUCGGAAUCACUGGGCGUAAAGCGCAUGCAGGCGGAUCGCUAAGUCGGGGGUGAAAUCCCGAGGCUCAACCUCGGAACUGCCUUCGAUACUGGCGAUCUUGAGUCCGGGAGAGGUGAGUGGAACUCCGAGUGUAGAGGUGAAAUUCGUAGAUAUUCGGAAGAACACCAGUGGCGAAGGCGGCUCACUGGCCCGGUACUGACGCUGAGAUGCGAAAGCGUGGGGAGCAAACAGG
rnacentral:rRNA from 1 species